rnacentral:rRNA from 1 species
UACUGGAUAGUGCUGUCGACCUCUCAAUGUAUUAGGUUUAUCCAACUCGUUGAAUGGUGUGGCGGGAUAUUUCUGGUAUUGUUGGCCCGGCCUUACAACAACCAAACAAGUUUGACCUCAAAUCAGGUAGGAAUACCCGCUGAACUUAAGCAUAUCAAUAAGCGGAGGAAAAGAAACCAACAGGGAUUGCCUUAGUAGCGGCGAGUGAAGCGGCAAAAGCUCAAAUUUGAAAUCUGGCGCCUUCGGUGUCCGAGUUGUAAUUUGAAGAUUGUAACCUUGGGGUUGGCUCUUGUCUAUGUUUCUUGGAACAGGACGUCACAGAGGGUGAGAAUCCCGUGCGAUGAGAUGCCCAAUUCUAUGUAAGGUGCUUUCGAAGAGUCGAGUUGUUUGGGAAUGCAGCUCUAAGUGGGUGGUAAAUUCCAUCUAAAGCUAAAUAUUGGCGAGAGACCGAUAGCGAACAAGUACAGUGAUGGAAAGAUGAAAAGAACUUUGAAAAGAGAGUGAAAAAGUACGUGAAAUUGUUGAAAGGGAAGGGUUUGAGAUCAGACUCGAUAUUUUGUGAGCCUUGCCUUCGUGGCGGGGUGACCCGCAGCUUAUCGGGCCAGCAUCGGUUUGGGCGGUAGGAUAAUGGCGUAGGAAUGUGACUUUACUUCGGUGAAGUGUUAUAGCCUGCGUUGAUGCUGCCUGCCUAGACCGAGGACUGCGAUUUUAUCAAGGAUGCUGGCAUAAUGAUCCCAAACCGCCCGUCUUGAAACACGGACCAAGGAGUCUAACGUCUAUGCGAGUGUUUGGGUGUUAAACCCGU